rnacentral:rRNA from 1 species
UACGGGGGGGGCAAGCGUUGUUCGGAAUUACUGGGCGUAAAGGGCUCGUAGGCGGCCAACUAAGUCGGAUGUGAAAUCCCCAGGCUUAACCUGGGAACUGCAUCCGAUACUGGAUGGCUUGAAUCCGGGAGAGGGAUGCAGAAUUCCAGGUGUAGCGGUGAAAUGCGUAGAUAUCUGGAGGAAUACCGGUGGCGAAGGCGGCAUCCUGGACCGGCAUUGACGCUGAGGAGCGAAAGCUAGGGGAGCAAACUGG